rnacentral:tRNA from 1 species
UUGUGUGUGGAGCUCAGUGGGAGAGCACUUGCCUGGCAUGAGCAAGGCCCUGGGUUCAAUCCCGAACACUGCAAA